AACAGGGAUUGCCUAGUACGGCGAGUGAAGCGGCAACAGCUCAAAUUUGAAAUCUGGCCUCGGCCCGAGUUGUAAUUUGCAGAGGAUGUUUCUGGCGCGGUGCCUUCCGAGUUCCCUGGAACGGGACGCCACAGAGGGUGAGAGCCCCGUAUGGUUGGACACUAAGCCUGUGUGAAACUCCUUCGACGAGUCGAGUAGUUUGGGAAUGCUGCUCAAAAUGGGAGGUAAAUCUCUUCUAAAGCUAAAUACCGGCCAGAGACCGAUAGCGCACAAGUAGAGUGAUCGAAAGAUGAAAAGCACCUUGAAAAGGGGGUUAAACAGUACGUGAAAUUGUUGAAAGGGAAGCGCUUGUGACCAGACUUGCGCCGGGCGGCUCAUCCGGGGUUCUCCCCGGUGCACUCCGCCCGGCUCAGGCCAGCAUCGGUUCUCGUUGGGGGAUAAGAACGGCAGGAACGUGGCCCUCCUUCGGGUGGGUGUUAUAGCCUGCCGUACGAUACCCUGACGGGGACCGAGGUUCGCGCUCCGCAAGGAUGCUGGCGUAAUGGUCAUCAGCGACCCGUCUUGAAACACGGACCAAGGAGUCGUCCAUUAGAGCGAGCGUUUGGGUGUCAAACCCGCACGCGUAAUGAAAGUGAAAUUAGGUGAGAGCUUCGGCGCAUCAUCGACCGAUCCUGAUGUUCUCGGAUGGAUUUGAGUAAGAGUUUUAACGGACGGACCCGAAAGACAGUGAACUAUGCUUGUAUAGGGUGAAGCCAGAGGAAACUCUGGUGGAGGCUCGCAGCGGUUCUGACGUGCAAAUCGAUCGUCAAAUAUGA
rnacentral:rRNA from 1 species